AUGUUUAAUCAGUUAUAUGUCUUUCUUCUCCACUAUAGGGCUGGUGGGCUAGCAUCAAGUAUGCCAACCCAAAGGGGCUUGGUUUACAGGAGUUUGAGGCAGAACUGGAUGAGUCACUGUCCAGGAGUCCAAGAAUUGAUCCCAGGGUGUGUAUUGGACUAUUGGCCUCUUCUUUGUUCUGUUCCUGUUCCUGCUUCUGCAUUAAUUACACUCCAGUUUUUUUCUUUCUUUCAGGAGCUUAAAGACUAUGAACUGCACCAGGAUCUGCUAGCACAGGGGGCCUAUGCUGCUGGUUUAAUCAGGACAUCGACCGAUGGGUACCAAAAAAUGGCACUGUCAAGAAAAAUUCUGCUGGGCAUGUACCUGGAGGGUAAGAAGAAUACACCCGAGGCGGAACACUGGCGCAAGGAACUGCACCUGCAGAUCGAAGCAUUAGAGCAUCCCUUAUCCGCUCUGGCCAAGUCUAAGAAGAACUAUGAGACCAUGCCACUCCUGUUCCUGGAGAUGCCUGAUCUCCUCCCUAAGCAGGAGAAGAAGAAUAAGAGAGCUUGA
rnacentral:rRNA from 1 species